rnacentral:rRNA from 1 species
GGCGAACGCUGGCGGCGCGCUUAACACAUGCAAGUCGAACGGAAAGGCCUGCUUUCCCUUGUGGAUUGCGGGUACUCGAGUGGCGAACGGGUGAGUAACACGUGAGUGAUCUGCCCCCAACUUGGGUAUAAGCCUGGGAAACUGGGUCUAAUUCCCGAUAGGACUGCAGGGUGGUGCCUGUGGUGGAAAACGAUUUUCUAGUGGUUGGGGAUGAGCUCGCGGCCUAUCAGCUUGUUGGUGGGGUAAUGGCCUACCAAGGCGGCGACGGGUAGCCGGCCUGAGAGGGUGGACGGCCACAUUGGGACUGAGAUACGGCCCAGACUCCUACGGGAGGCAGCAGUGGGGAAUAUUGCACAAUGGGCGGAAGCCUGAUGCAGCGACGCCGCGUGGGGGAUGACGGCCUUCGGGUUGUAAACUCCUUUCGACCGCGAGGAAGCCACCUGGCUGGAAGGGUGGUGACGGUAGUGGUAGAAGAAGCACCGGCUAACUACGUG